ensembl:snoRNA SNORD18 Small nucleolar RNA SNORD18
UAGAAAUGAUGAGAUUCCACUUCAUUGGUCCGUGUUUCUGAAGCCUGUGAUUUUAGUAGUGGAGGUUCUGAUUCU